rnacentral:rRNA from 1 species
ACUAGUAUGAAAGCCAAGCUGAAAGACUUUGCUCAAUUAUGUAAGUGGUGGUGCAUGGCCGUUCGUGGUUCGUGAAUUGAUUUGUCUGGUUUAUUCCGAUAACGAGCGAGACCCUAUCGUUCCUAAUAGGGGUCGCAGCCAAGCUAACCGCAAGGUCAGCUAGCUGCGAUCUGAGAUAACUUCUUAGACGUAUCAGAGCCGAUAAGGUUCUUGAAAUGGGUUAAUAACAGGUCAGCAUGCCCUUAGAUGUUCUGGGCCGCACGCGCGUUACAAUGGAACGUAAAGCGAGUGCUGCAAUAGUGAUCCCGGGGCCGAAAGGCUUUGGUAACCACCAAAACGUUCCCUGCCUGGGACAGAUCAUUGAAAUUAUUGGUCUCUAACGAGGAAUUUUUAGUAGUCGUAGGUCAUUAACCUGCGACGA